rnacentral:rRNA from 1 species
GAUGAACGCUAGCUACAGGCUUAACACGUGCAAGUCGAGGGGAAACGAUAUUGGAAGCUUGCUUCCGAUAGGCGUCGACCGGCGCACGGGUGAGUAACGCGUAUCCAACCUGCCCACCACUUGGGAAUAACCUUGCGAAAGUAAGACUAAUGCCCAAUGAUAUCUCUAGAAGACAUCUGAAAGAGAUUAAAGAUUUAUCGGUGAUGGAUGGGGAUGCGUCUGAUUAGCUUGUUGGCGGGGUAACGGCCCACCAAGGCGACGAUCAGUAGGGGUUCUGGGAGGAAGGGCCGCCACAAUGGAACUGAGACACGGUCCAAACUCCUACGGGAGGCGGCAGUGAGGAAUAUUGGUCAAUGGGCGAGAGCCUGAACCAGGCAAGUAGCGUGCAGGAUGACGGCCCUAUGGGUUGUAAACUGCUUUUAUAAGGGAAUAAAGUGAGCCUCGUGAGGCUUUUUGCAUGUACCUUAUGAAUAAGGACCGGCUAAUUCCGUGCCAGCAGCCGCCGUAA